GGGUGUGUGUAUGUGUGUGUGUGUGUGUUUAACUGAGAGUACUGAGAUGAUUUACUACCAGGGUUGUCAUGAAGAUGAAACAAGCUUGGAUGUUCUGUUCUGCAGUUACCUAAUAUCUCGCAAUGAGAAAGGUUUGCGUCCAGCGAUGGAGGA
rnacentral:lncRNA from 1 species